UGGGGAAUUUUGGACAAUGGGCGCGAGCCUGAUCCAGCCAUGCCGCGUGCGGGAAGAAGGCCUUCGGGUUGUAAACCGCUUUUGUCAGGGAAGAAAUCUUCUGAGUUAAUACCUCGGGAGGAUGACGGUACCUGAAGAAUAAGCACCGGCUAACUACGUGCCAGCAGCCGCGGUAAUACGUAGGGUGCAAGCGUUAAUCGGAAUUACUGGGCGUAAAGCGUGCGCAGGCGGUUUUGUAAGACAGAGGUGAAAUCCCCGGGCUCAACCUGGGAACUGCCUUUGUGACUGCAAGGCUUGAGUGCGGCAGAGGGGGAUGGAAUUCCGCGUGUAGCAGUGAAAUGCGUAGAUAUGCGGAGGAACACCGAUGGCGAAGGCAAUCCCCUGGGCCUGCACUGACGCUCAUGCACGAAAGCGUGGGGAGCAAACAGGAUUAGAUACCCUGGUAGUCCACGCCCUAAACGAUGUCAACUGGUUGUUGGGAAGGUUCCUUCUCAGUAACGUAGCUAACGCGUGAAGUUGACCGCCUGGGGAGUACGGCCGCAAGGUUGAAACUUAAAGGAAUUGACGGGGUCAUAGCUGUUUCC
rnacentral:rRNA from 1 species